AGCUCUGCGCAGUGGCAAUAUCGUAACAAAUGAGGUUUUACCGAAGUGCGAUUGUUGCUAGUUGGAAAACGCUCGGCCUCGAAUGUUCGAAUCAAACACUUUAUUGGGAAAAUAGUAGAUGCGAAAUUAACGUUUCUUUGGAAA